GGUCGCAUGGUGAAGUAGCUUAACACAGCGGUCUGCAAAACCGCCAUUCGUGGGUGCGAAUCCCACUGCGACCUCAA
rnacentral:tRNA from 1 species